rnacentral:rRNA from 1 species
GUUCUGGUGCCAGCAGCCGCGGUAAUUCCAGCUCCAGUAGCGUAUAUUAAAGUUGCUGCAGCUAAAAAGCUCGUAGUUGAAUUUCUGUUUGUAAGAGUCGAAGCUUUACAGCUAAGAUUUCUUCGAACAUCUGUUUGCAAGCAUACGUUCGGCCUUCACUGGUUGGCUAUGUAAGCAAGCGCUUUACCUUGAGAAAAUUAGAGUGUUCCAGGCAGGCUUCAGCCGGAAUACAUUAGCAUGGAAUAAUGGAAUAGGACUGGGGACUAUUUAUUGGUUUGAGGCUCCAGUAAUGAUUAAUAGGAACAGUCGGGGGCAUUGGUACUUAACAGUCAGAGGUGAAAUUCUUGGAUUUGUUAAAGACUAACUAAUGCGAAAGCAUUUGCCAAGCAUGUUUUCAUUAAUCAAGAUCGAAAGUUAGGGGAUCAAAGACGAUUAGAUACCGUCCUAGUCUUAACUGUAAACGAUUCCAUCUUAGAAUUGGGUGAAUAUUUGAUGAUUCAUCCAGCGCUAUAAGAGAAAUCAAAGUCUUUGGGUUCUUGGUGGAGUACGAUCGCAAGAUUGAAACUUAAAGGAAUUGACGGUUUUGCACACCAUGGAGUGGAGCCUGUGGCUUAAUUUGACCCAACACUGGGAAACUCAUCAGGACAACAAAGUUUUAGGAUUGACAGAUUGAUAGCUCUUUCUUGAUUGACUUAAUGGUGGUGCAUGGCCGUUCUUAGUUGGUGGAGUGAUUUGUCUGGUUAAUUCCGUUAACGAACGAGACCUUAACCUACUAACUAGUACGACGUGACGAACGUUAGUUACUUCUUAGAGGGACAAUGUGUAUUUUUAACACAAGGAAGUUUAAGGCAAUAACAGGUCUGUGAUGCCCUUAGAUGUCCUGAGCCGCACACGCGCUACAAUGACACUUUCAAUAAGUUUUUGCUGGUCCGACAGGAUUUCGGCUAAUCUUUUUAGUAAGUGUCGUGCUAGGGAUAGAUCUUUGCAAUUGUGGAUCUUGAACGAGGAAUUCCUAGUAAGCACAAGUCAUCAGCUUGUGCUGAUUACGUCCCUGCAAAAUGUACACAUCGCCCGUCGCUUGCUCCGAUUGAGUAAUCUGGUGAGCCUUCUUGACUGAGUAAGUAAUUACGAAGAAAAUUAAGCAAACCAUAUUACUUAGAGGAUGAAGAAGUCGUAACAAAGUUUCCGUAGGUGAACCUG